UCUCACUAUCUUGUCUUUCAUG
rnacentral:miRNA from 1 species